rnacentral:rRNA from 1 species
ACUAUCGUUAACUGAAUACAUAGGUUAACGAGGCGAACCGGGGGAACUGAAACAUCUAAGUACCCCGAGGAAAAGAAAUCAACCGAGAUUCCCCCAGUAGCGGCGAGCGAACGGGGAGCAGCCCAGAGUCUGAAUCAGCUUGUGUGUUAGUGGAACGGUCUGGAAAGUCCGACGGUACAGGGUGAUAGUCCCGUACACCAAAAUGCACAGGUUGUGAACUCGAAGAGUAGGGCGGGACACGUGGUAUCCUGUCUGAAUAUGGGGGGACCAUCCUCCAAGGCUAAAUACUCCUGACUGACCGAUAGUGAACCAGUACCGUGAGGGAAAGGCGAAAAGAACCCCGGCGAGGGGAGUGAAAAAGAACCUGAAACCGUGUACGUACAAGCAGUGGGAGCACCUUCGGGUGUGACUGCGUACCUUUUGUAUAAUGGGUCAGCGACUUAUAUUCUGUAGCAAGGUUAACCGUAUAGGGGAGCCGCAGGGAAACCGAGUCUUAACUGGGCGUUAAGUUGCAGGGUAUAGACCCGAAACCCGGUGAUCUAGCCAUGGGCAGGUUGAAGGUUGGGUAACACUAACUGGAGGACCGAACCGACUAAUGUUGAAAAAUUAGCGGAUGACUUGUGGCUGGGGGUGAAAGGCCAAUCAAACCGGGAGAUAGCUGGUUCUCCCCGAAAGCUAUUUAGGUAGCGCCUCGUGAAUUCAUCUUCGGGGGUAGAGCACUGUUUCGGCUAGGGGGUCAUCCCGACUUACCAACCCGAUGCAAACUACGAAUACCGAAGAAUGUUAUCACGGGAGACACACGGCGGGUGCUAACGUCCGUCGUGAAGAGGGAAACAACCCAGACCGCCAGCUAAGGUCCCAAAGUCAUGGUUAAGUGGGAAACGAUGUGGGAAGGCACAGACAGCCAGGAUGUUGGCUUAGAAGCAGCCAUCAUUUAAAGAAAGCGUAAUAGCUCACUGGUCGAGUCGGCCUGCGCGGAAGAUGUAACGGGGCUAAACCAUGCACCGAAGCUGCGGCAGCGACACUAUGUGUUGUUGGGUAGGGGAGCGUUCUGUAAGCCUGCGAAGGUGNUGCUGGAGGUAUCAGAAGUGCGAAUGCUGACAUAAGUAACGAUAAAGCGGGUGAAAAGCCCGCUCGCCGGAAGACCAAGGGUUCCUGUCCAACGUUAAUCGGGGCAGGGUGAGUCGACCCCUAAGGCGAGGCCGAAAGGCGUAGUCGAUGGGAAACAGGUUAAUAUUCCUGUACUUGGUGUUACUGCGAAGGGGGGACGGAGAAGGCUAUGUUAGCCGGGCGACGGUUGUCCCGGUUUAAGCAUGUAGGCUGGUUAUCCAGGCAAAUCCGGAUAAUCAAGGCUGAGGUGUGAUGACGAGGCACUACGGUGCUGAAGUAACAAAUGCCCUGCUUCCAGGAAAAGCCUCUAAGCAUCAGGUAACAUCAAAUCGUACCCCAAACCGACACAGGUGGUCAGGUAGAGAAUACCAAGGCGCUUGAGAGAACUCGGGUGAAGGAACUAGGCAAAAUGGUGCCGUAACUUCGGGAGAAGGCACGCUGGUGUGUAGGUGAAGCCCCUGCGGGUGGAGCUGAGACCAGUCGAAGAUACCAGCUGGCUGCAACUGUUUAUUAAAAACACAGCACUGUGCAAACACGAAAGUGGACGUAUACGGUGUGACGCCUGCCCGGUGCCGGAAGGUUAAUUGAUGGGGUUAUCCGUAAGGAGAAGCUCUUGAUCGAAGCCCCGGUAAACGGCGGCCGUAACUAUAACGGUCCUAAGGUAGCGAAAUUCCUUGUCGGGUAAGUUCCGACCUGCACGAAUGGCGUAAUGAUGGCCAGGCUGUCUCCACCCGAGACUCAGUGAAAUUGAACUCGCUGUGAAGAUGCAGUGUACCCGCGGCAAGACGGAAAGACCCCGUGAACCUUUACUAUAGCUUGACACUGAACAUUGAGCCUUGAUGUGUAGGAUAGGUGGGAGGCUUUGAAGCGUGGACGCCAGUCUGCGUGGAGCCAACCUUGAAAUACCACCCUUUAAUGUUUGAUGUUCUAACGUUGGCCCCUUACCGGGGUUGCGGACAGUGUCUGGUGGGUAGUUUGACUGGGGCGGUCUCCUCCCAAAGCGUAACGGAGGAGCACGAAGGUUAGCUAAUCCUGGUCGGACAUCAGGAGGUUAGUGCAAUGGCAUAAGCUAGCUUGACUGCGAGCGUGACGGCGCGAGCAGGUGCGAAAGCAGGUCAUAGUGAUCCGGUGGUUCUGAAUGGAAGGGCCAUCGCUCAACGGAUAAAAGGUACUCCGGGGAUAACAGGCUGAUACCGCCCAAGAGUUCAUAUCGACGGCGGUGUUUGGCACCUCGAUGUCGGCUCAUCACAUCCUGGGGCUGAAGUAGGUCCCAAGGGUAUGGCUGUUCGCCAUUUAAAGUGGUACGCGAGCUGGGUUUAGAACGUCGUGAGACAGUUCGGUCCCUAUCUGCCGUGGGCGCUGGAGAAUUGAGGGGGGCUGCUCCUAGUACGAGAGGACCGGAGUGGACGCAUCACUGGUGUUCGGGUUGUCAUGCCAAUGGCACUGCCCGGUAGCUAAAUGCGGAAGAGAUAAGUGCUGAAAGCAUCUAAGCACGAAACUUGCCCCGAGAUGAGUUCUCCCUGAGACUUUAAGUCUCCUGAAGGAACGUUGAAGACGACGACGUUGAUAGGCCGGGUGUGUAAGCGCAGCGAUGCGUUGAGCUAACCGGUACUAAUGAACCGUGAGGCUUAACC